rnacentral:rRNA from 1 species
CCUACGGGAGGCAGCAGUGAGGAAUAUUGGUCAAUGGGCGGGAGCCUGAACCAGCCAAGCCGCGUGAGGGAAGAAGGUACAGCGUAUCGUAAACCUCUUUUGUCAGGGAACAAAGGCGGGCACUAGUCCCCGGAUGCGUGUACCUGAUGAAAAAGGAUCGGCUAACUCCGUGCCAGCAGCCGCGGUAAUACGGAGGAUGCGAGGGUUAUCCGGAUUUGUGGGGUUUAAAGGGUGCGCAGGCGGCCUGUUAAGUCAGCGGUAAAAGCCCGGGGCUCAACCCAGAAGAGCCGUUGAAACCGGCGGGCUGGAGUUGGAGAGAGGUACGCGGAAUGCGCGGUGUAGCGGUGAAAUGCUUAGAUAUCGCGCAGAACCCCGAUUGCGAAGGCAGCGUACCGGCUCCACACUGACGCUGAGGCUCGAAAGCGUGGGUAUCGAACAGGAUUAGAUACCCCGGUAGUC